rnacentral:lncRNA from 1 species
UUGAUAGUGAGCUCGUUAAAGUGUUGAAUAUAAUGAUUUUGUAGAAUCUGAUUAGUUUUCAGGUAUUUUGGUCACGGUAUACUCAUAGCAGGAAUGGAGGAUCACCUUUGAUGUUUUUUCACUAUAGAAUGGGGUGGUAGUGGUGGACAAGGUGUAAUGGGUGUGGCCAUGAGAGGGGAAAGGAUGCUUUCUUCCCAAAAGUGGGAAACAAGUGGGGUGAAGUGAAGCUACUCUUCCUUCCUCAAAGUAGUAAAAGAUACAAAAGAAUACAAUUUACCUGUUCUAACUUUUUGACCAUCACAAUUUUGGGACUCCUGAAUGUACUUUAAUAAUAUACAGG